rnacentral:rRNA from 1 species
GAUUAACGCUGGCGGCAUGCCUAAUACAUGCAAGUCGAACGGAAGCAGCAAUGCUUUAGUGGCGAACGGGUGAGUAACACGUAGGGAACCUACCUAUACGACGAGGAUAACUACUGGAAACGGUAGCUAAAACUGGAUAGGAUCAAUUGAGGCAUCUUGAUUGAUUUAAAGAUCCUUCGGGAUUACGUAGAGAUGGCCCUGCGGCGCAUUAGCUAGUUGGUGAGGUAACGGCCCACCAAGGCGACGAUGCGUAGCUGAGCUGAGAGGCUAAACAGCCACACUGGGACUGAGACACGGCCCAGACUCCUACGGGAGGCAGCAGUAGGGAAUUUUUCGGCAAUGGGGGAAACCCUGACCGAGCAAUGCCGCGUGAACGAUGAAGGUCUUCGGAUUGUAAAGUUCUGUGAUUGGGGAAGAAUGGUAUUCUUAGGGAAUGAGGAGUACAUGACGGUACCCGAUUAGAAAGCCCCGGCUAACUAUGUGCCAGCAGCCGCGGUAAAU